rnacentral:rRNA from 1 species
UACGUAGGGUGCAAGCGUUGUCCGGAAUUAUUGGGCGUAAAGAGCUCGUAGGCGGUUCGUCGCGUCGGCUGUGAAAUCCCGAGGCUCAACCUCGGGUCUGCAGUCGAUACGGGCGGACUGGAGUUCGGCAGGGGAGACUGGAAUUCCUGGUGUAGCGGUGAAAUGCGCAGAUAUCAGGAGGAACACCUGUGGCGAAGGCGGCUCGCUGGGCCGGUCCUGACGCUGAGACGCGAAGGCGUGGGGAGCGAACGGG